AAUCAGAUCUGAAGCUACAAUAUGUGCUGGAAUGUCUUUAGAAUGAAAAUAGCAGCUGCCACCUGUAUGCUCUUGGGGGCAGGGAUGUACGCCCACUGGAGUCAGGCUGAAGGUGUUGAUUGACCUGCUUGAAAGACAAAAUCUUAGACAGUGAAGAGUAACAUCACAAAGCUUCUUUUUGGGAAGUCCAGGUACUUUAUUCAGUUGCAAAUUAGCAAGGCUCAGCUCAGUCUCUGGGCUGGUUUUAGAAUUAGUGAAAAGGCCAGAGAUUCUCUGGAAGUGGGGGCUGUGCUCAGAAUUAACUUUGCGAGGUAAUUAAGAAUACUAGUUAUCUACAAAAUGAAUAUGUAAUAUAAGACUAAAUACUAGAGCAGUCUAAGAUUGAGUUAGAAUGACUAGUCACACUGAAGAAAAGAGAAAAAUUAUUAUGACUCUAUUAAAUGACUGAUCUUAUUAAGUCAGAAUAUACAGUCUUUGAUGUUCUUUUGCCAUAAAGUUAAAGGCUUGAAGCUAGUCUAAACUGGAAAAAUGGCAAGCAAGCAUAGUUCUAAAACAUGAAUCUAAUUUAGUUUCCUAGUCAUUUCAAUCAGGUCACUGAGUCAACUUACCUGCCAGCUCAUCACACGAAUUAACCAUCAAGAUUCUGCAGCGUUCUGUGGAGAGAACCUGUUUUUCCCUUCUCUAAUAAGGUAGCUGUUUAGGAUCAAUCUAUAAGCCAAUAAGUAGACCCUUUUAAGAUACUAUAAAGCAUUUAUUAAAUUCUUUGACGUUUAAAUUUUAAGAUUUGAAAAUAAAGGUAUGAUUUAAAUAGUGUGCAUGGGAAUGCACUAAAUAGUAUGUAUGGGGAUACAGUUUUCCCCUUCUUUGUCUUUUUAAGAAGUUAAAGUUUUAAAGUUCACAAUAUUUAAUCCUUUGACUUAAUAACUUGUUAACAAAACAUUUUAAAUACUUGACUGUAAAGGGGCAGUGACUAAUUGCACUCUCAAUCAUUUCUCUUAAGGAGCGGUUGUAACUAGAAAGCUUGAAAAGUUAUUAAGAGUCACAUGUGCAUAAUUUAUUUAUUUAUUAACUAGAAAUAAGAGCAUUUAUUUGUAGCAAAUUAUUAAGUAAAUGUCCUCAAGAAUUAACACUAUUAUGUGGAAACAAGUACCAACUGAGGACACUAGAAGGAAAGAAUUAUACAAGCACAAUUUUUAAGAAUAUUAAAAUAUUAUUUUAAACCAUAGCUGUUAUGAAUAUACAAAGAACGAGGUUAUAUAUCUAACCUACCUUAUAUGUGCGACCUAUAGACUGUCUGAGAUAUAAAUCUAUCCUGGCAUUGUUUUAAAAAUGUCCAGGCAAUUAGAACAAUUUAAUAAGUGUCCAAACACCACCUUCUUAAAAGGACAGCAUUUUUUCUAUGAGUUGUAUAUACAUAAGUAAUUGUAAAUUUGAGAAUUAAUAGCAUCUGAGGGACGAGCAAUCUUAAGCAAUUGUGAGCUCUGAGAUAAAACAUUGACUAUUAAUAUGUAAAUUAAGGUUUGAUUGUUUAGCAUUUUAAAACAUCAUCUAUAGCACACAACUAGAUUAUUUGUGUUGAAACAGGGGGAAAUUUAAGAGAAUAAGCAUGUGAUCUAAUUCACAUGUACUUACGUCUCAUAUAGGGGUUGUUAUUAAACAUAAUAAUUGGGAUGUAUGCAUGCAUGAAAUUAUAGAAGAUAUAAAAGCAUGUAUAAAAACAAUUAACUCAUCUUUGGGAUAUUGAUUGUUAAUCUAUUUAAAAUGAUGGUGCAUAAUAGGUCAAUUAUUAAUAUUUUGUAAUAACCAAAUAAAUUGCUGUAUAGAACAAGGAACCUUUGUAUAGGUUUUUUAAAAUAUAUGAAUAUACUUUACAAUUUUUUAUUAGUACCACAGUGGUUUAAGUAGGAUGUUGAAACUGUAUUUUGAGGUGAGUGCUAUCUUGGUCUCGCCCACCUGCCUUGUCGUGGCUCUGUGGUCUAGGGCCUGACACCCACAGGGUACUUGGGGAGGGGGGGCGUUUGCCCUAAGUCCUCUUUAGCCCUGGCUGCUUUAUACCCUGGCAUUCAGAGUCACUCUGAAAAGGGCUCUGUAUUAUAACCAGCUGCUGAGCCCUGUAUCUCUAAAGCAGAGAAGGCAGUGUGCGCCUGACGCACCACUAUGUCAAGCAGCAGCUCCGGUCCUGGCACUGGGGCGGAGCUGGCCCUGUUGCCACAGCCGCUUUUGUUAUCGCUGCUGCCACCUUGGUCUUUUUUUCAGGCUAGAAAACUCAAACAAGGGUGGCGGAGCACCCCGGGCCUUAGCGGGAAAAAUAUGACUACUCUGAAAAUAUGGCUAUUCUGGUAGGGACACGUGGAGGCUCGGGGCUCAUGGGGCAAAGGUGAGCAGGGCCCUCUCCUAAGUUCCCUGUAAUUUAAAGGAUCAAAAAUAUACAAAGAAGCCAAUAAAGGUGGCGUCUACUCUAAGACUAGAAAGGUGUAAUGAAGACCCAAACUCUGCUGUCUGAAGUAAAAGUGUUUCCACAUACAUAGUUUUACUUAACUGGACUUAUGGUCAUUUUAAAGAUCU
rnacentral:lncRNA from 1 species